GAAUCUUGGACAAUGGGGGCAACCCUGAUCCAGCGACGCCGCGUGGGUGAUGAAGGCCUUCGGGUUGUAAAGCCCUUUCACCGGGGACGAUGGUGACGGUACCCGGAGAAGAAGCACCGGCUAACUCCGUGCCAGCAGCCGCGGUAAGACGGAGGGUGCUAGCGUUGUUCGGAAUCACUGGGCGUAAAGGGCUCGUAGGCGGCCAACUAAGUCGGAUGUGAAAUCCCCAGGCUCAACCUGGGAACUGCAUCCGAUACUGGAUGGCUUGAAUUCGGGAGAGGGAUGCAGAAUUCCAGGUGUAGCGGUGAAAUGCGUAGAUAUCUGGAGGAAUACCGGUGGCGAAGGCGGCAUCCUGGACCGACAUUGACGCUGAGGAGCGAAAGCUAGGGGAGCAAACGGG
rnacentral:rRNA from 1 species